rnacentral:misc_RNA from 1 species
GAUGAAGAACGUAGCGAAAUGCGAUAAGGAGUGUGAAUUGCAGAAUUCAGUGAAUCAUCGAAUCUUUGAACGCACAUUGCGCCCCUUGGUAUUCCAUGGGGCAUGCCUGUUCGAGCGUCAUUUGUACCUUCAAGCCUUGCUUGGUGUUGGGUGUUUGUCUCGCCUCUGCGCGCAGACUCGCCUCAAAACAAUUGGCAGCCGGCGUAUUGAUUUCGGAGCGCAGUACAUCUCGCGCUUUGCACUCAGAACGACGACGUCCAAAAGUACAUUUUUACACUCUUGACCUCGGAUCAGGUAGGGAUACCCGCUGAACUUAAGCAUAUCAAUAAGCGGAGGA